CCUCGCCUCCGCCGCCCGCGUCCCCGGCCUGACCUUCGCCGGCGCGGCCCGCCCCCGGACCCCGGUCCCUUCCCUCCGCCCGGCGCCUCCGCACCCUUCCAUUGUCAGCCCGAGCAGCCGGCGCCCAGCCCCGGCCCCGCGCAGCCCACCGCCCCCCGGGUCAAACCCCUCGGCGGCCGGGCGCCUUCCUCCUCCCUCCUCUGCGCCCCAAACUCCGCAUCCCCAGGAGCCCGCCGCUCCCUCCUGGGCCAGCCUAGCCCGCGGGCGGGCGCCGGACUCGCGUCCCUUCUCCUCCCUCCCUCAUCGCCAAGAUGCCCUCGGCUCCUCGCCGGCCGCAGGAAUUUUACCGCUUCUUUAGCACCCCCCUUUAUUUCCCGAGGAAGCAAGUUGGGCAGCUGGAUUUAUGAAAUUUUCUCCCUUUUUUUUGAGGGGAGGGUAGGUUAGUGGGGGUGCGCCCGCAGGGGUUGGGCGGCGGAUAGAGGCAGGGGGUUCUCUCCGGCCCCUGCAGUGCCCCGGCGGCGCGUUUUGUUUCCAGACCCCGAAGCCCCCUGAACAAUAAUGCCAUCGCCAUGGCGGGCUCACCUGGUGCUGCGCCGCCUGCUCCGGGCGCCCGGUGCCCUCCGCGCGCCGCUCCCCGGGCACAGGACCAUUAAUGAUGAGACCGCGCGGCCUCCGCGUCGCUGGCGGAUCUGCAGGAUGCACCGAGGGCCACUGGCUACGAUGAGGCUUCCCAGAGCUGGGUACAGAGGCACUACGGUCACGAUCCACAGUCUCCUGUUAGCAGGAUCCACCUUUGGUGGAAGAGGACGGCGUGGGCGUUCAUCGGCCAGUUCUCGGGCAAGGCUUGGAAGAUCCUACAGAACUUCAGAACCGCUGUGGGGAAAAUGGAAGUUCCUGUGCCCAGAAUCCUCACCUGACCCUAAACUACUUGAUGAUAUAAUUGGCCGGCUGCUAGGCUAAUGCUCCCGCACCCAUAGGCAAUAAGCUAUCAUUGACUGAAUCAAUAUAUAAAGGGCUUUUCUCAGUGCUCUGCACAGAUGCAGAGAUGGAGGUGAAUUACAGACCUGCAGACUGCUGGAUACAGAUGUGAUUCUAGUGCUUGACCUACCACCAUGAGAAUAAAGCUGGGUAUAAGCCCUUUUACCCCAAGGAUGUUCCAUUUAGCAUUUCUCAGUUUCACUGAAUCCAUUGUGAACUUGCCUGGGGCAAAACCCUCAGGCAAGACAACCACCCAGGCCAUGUACUGUUGGAGAUAAUUGUAACUACUAUUGUUACAAUAUUGUUAGUGUUGUAACAAUAGUGUUGCAAUAUACCUGCACCUGGGUAAUAAGGAGUCAUUUUCAAUAUAACUCUGGACAAGAUGGAGCUAGUGGUGUAAUAUGAUGAAACUGUACCUGCACCUGGGAUGUUAGAUCCUGUGGCUUUUGCACGGUGGUUUUGCAAUCAGGUAUAGUAAUGAUGUUGGAGUUUCAGUGUGACCAAGCUGGAGGCAGGAGAGACAUGGUGAGUGCCCAGUUUAAGCUUCUUACAACUUGGAGGAUGUUACUUCAGAGCAGAAUGUCUUCAUCACCUUGAGAACACCUGUGAGGACAUGGAGACUUAAGGGGCCCCCCCACUCACAAGCAGCUUGACAUCCUCUUCCCUCCAUUGCUGGUAAUGUAUCCUUCCAGCUUGUUGUAGUGAAGUGGUGCUUGUGUAAGACUUCUGACCGAACAUAAUUUAUCCCUCAGACUCACCACAGAUCUCUGGGACUUUUCUCCAAGCAGGUAACCUAGCAGCGUUUUGUUGCUUCCCCUCCCUUCCUCCAAGUCCUCCUCCUCCUUCUUCUUUCUUAGACGUUCCUCUAGGAUCUCUCUUUCCUUACCCUAGGCUAUGCUGGUUGCUUUUCAGGAUUGCUGUCUAUUUUAGGGACUUACCUUUUCCAUCCUCUUGACAAUUUCCUUUACUUCUUUUUUGUGUUGGAUCCCCUGUCUCCCUCUUUCUUGUCUGAAUUCCUUGUUUUGGGGAGGGGGGACAUUUUCCAGGAACUUCCUGAGAAAGGUGAAUGGGAGGUCAAGUGUUUGAAUGUCUGAAAGUGUCUUUAUUCUACCAUCACAUAUGAUAUCUUUCAUCUGUGGUCAUUUCUCUCUUUUUGUCCUUGAGGGUGUAUAUUUUUAAAUUCCUUUACUAUUAUUUUAGUGGCGUUUUGGUAGGGUGUGGAAAUAAACAUACAUAACACAGUUAAUUUUCAUCUGCUAUUCAAUGCCUUUUAUCUUUACUAAUGGAACCCCCCAAACUUAGCGAGACAGCCAAAAUAAGACUAUAUUUCCUAGCUUCCCUUGCAGCUAGAUAUGGCUGUGUCAUUAAGUUCUGACCAGUUUCUCACAUCUUAUAUGAUGUGUAACUUCCAAGUUUAGCUCUUAAAGUCAAGAAGCAGAUCUUUUUCUCUACCCUGUUGUCCAAAGGAUGUCCAUGGUGCUGAACCUUGCAGAAGAGGGGGAUGCUCUGGGGAGGCUAAGCAAUGAGGGAGAAGGAAUAUGGGUACCCAACAUGGUGGGGCUAUCAAUCCUGGCCUUCUAAUGCUCCCAGUUAAAUGGGAGAGAAUUAUACUUCUACCCUGUUUAAGUCACUAUUAAUAGAAACUGCAUCCUGACUAAUCCAUUGUAUGUGUUAUUAGUCUGCCAUGUUUAACUAGAGGGGAUCCUUCAUUACAUGCAGAGUAAAUUCUUUUCUUUUUCUCAUAAGGGACAUAAAAGGCUCAGAAAUGGUAAGCAGUGGAGGAAGAAACACAUCCCUAUAUUUUGCUUAAUGAUAUAUGGGGUUAAUUAGAUUUAUUAUUCAUGUUAUAGCUGAUAUACUAUAAUAUGAUUAAUAUUGUUAAAUAAAUUGUAAACAAAUAAAAAAUGAAACACAUCCCUCAGUUGGAUGAAUAGAUGAACUAUUGACACACUACCACACUUUCAACUAAUUUUUUUUUAUUCACAUGGUUCGUGGAAGGAAGAUUGAGUUUAGAGAUUAGAGAUUUGGUUCUAGUUUUAGCUUCUCCACUGUGUGACCAUGGGAAAUUGAUAGAAUGUCUUUGAGUCUUAGUUUCCUCAUCCAUAAAAUGAUUAGAGUAGUUAAGAAUGGGAGGUGGGGGUUGUUACCAAAUUCUGCUUUUGUAAUUACAUCUUUAAAUAUUUUCUCUAAAAUGAAUCUAAAGUGAAUGUUUUGUUGAACAUUUCCCAUGUGCCUGGGACUAGAAAGCACUUUAAUAAUGGUGAUAAUAUUAAUAAUAAUAAAUUCAUUGCAUGCUUGAUAUGUGCCAUAAGACUACACUAACUGCUUUAUCAUUAUUAGCUCAUGUACUCCUUAUAAUAACUGCCUGUGAUAGUUCCAUUAUCAGCCCACUUUACUGAUGAGGAAAUUGAGACAGAGGUUAUGCAGCUUGACUAAGGCAAGGAUUCACAGCCACAGCUAGGCAACUCUAAAGUCUUUUCUUUUUCCUUUAUUCUUCUCCACCUUUUCAUAAAAUGUUUCAUAAAAUUAAAACAGGCAGAUAAGAUUACAGAACCACAACUGGACCUUAAGCAAAAUUUGCCUCUAACUUGAAACUUACUCUUUGGAACCCGUGGCCAGGAUGGAAUUUAGGAACAUGAAAGGGAAUAUGGGGGCUUCAUUCAGUCAAAACUCCCACCCAGUGUGGGAAUUCCCUCUGUGACAGCCUGGACAGAUGGUCAUGAGUCCUCUGUUUUAACACCUCAUGGCUGAACUUUCACUGCUUUAUUAGGCUGCUUUGCCACUGUUAGAGAAUCCCAACAAUGCCAGUUUUCAGACUCAAGCCCCUGGGUUUGCUUGCCUUUGAAGUAUGUAUGUGGGCUGCCUUAGCAAUGCUGAAGCCAUCAAGGGGUGGCAAAACCCUCUCUGGCUCUCACCUCUCUCCCUCCCUUUUUCCUCCAACCCCUUUGAUAAAGAAUUUCAUGAAGAAGAUGGCAUCGGAGCUGAGUGUAGAGGGCUGUGUGGAAUUUCAGCAGGUGGAGAUGAAAAGAAGCAGCGGAUAAGAGGUAGAGGCUGGAGAAGGGCCAGGUGGAGGUGUGGCCAGUGUCCCAGCCUUUGGGUCAUUGGGUGUACAGAGCACAGCUUGUAGGAAGGUGUCUGUGGAAUGACAGGUUGAGGCCCUAAUAUAGGGACCUAAUACACAAAGGUGAGGGUUGGUACUUGGUAUGAUAAGCAGUGAGAUCCAGGAGUGUCUUACAGAUGCGGAGUGCCAAGUCUGAGAGCCAGCUUUUGGGAGAUUCCCCUGACAAGGGUGCUUGGUGGUGAGACUCUGGAGCACAGAGACCAGCCCUCCCCACCUGCUGGAGCAGGUGCCACCUGGAUCCUUUCAUCAGUU